UCUUCGUCUAAAAUUCACAACCCCCCCCCCUCUCUCUCUAGAACUCGCAUUCUUGCUGUGAUUCGAUUCAAUGGAAGGUACACUCCUGAGCGUCCUCUCUCUCUCUCUCCCUCUCUUCAAUUAUUUUUUGUUUUUUAUUUAAUUUUUUGUUAAAUCGUGGAGCGAGCGGUGUCAAACGGUGGAAAUAUUCCCCCAAAACUGCAAAGACUUCGUUCCAAAUCACGACUCCAAGCCCUCUUCAACCUCUGUAGCAGAAAAUGUAGAAUCGGAGAAUUUCUGAUUCGGUUUCAUCCCUCUUUGUCUGCGGAGUUAAAACUUAAAACCCUAGAGCGAUUACAGCAAAGUUGGAGAGUGACGUGAGCGACAAAGAAUGUACUCCAGAUUCUGAUUUGAUUGGUGAGACUAGCACAUCGAACGGAACGGAACUCAACAAGGUUCUCCAUGUCAGAUGGUCCUUCCAUUUUUCCAGAAGAUCACUGAUUUGGCUACCAAAAUUCAGGAUUUGAAGAGAGAGCAUACUACCUUGUCUGAUGAGGUCAAGCUCACUAUGAAUUUCUUUCCGGACCCUGCAGUUCUAGACACCAUUCAGUUGCCAAGUGAGCCUUUUGUUUUAAUCACUCACAAUUAUUUUCUAACUUCCCUUCUCUCCUUGAUUGUAAUUUGUUGUUUCUGGAUAUCCAAGUCCAUAAGCUUCAUCGGAA